AAUACAGGAUGCCCAGGUAAAUGUGCAUUUCAGAUAAGCGAUGAAUAAUAUUUUAGUAUAAGUAUGUCUUGUGCAAUAUUUGGGACAUACUUAUACAAAAAAGUUAUUUUUUUAAUCCGAAAUUUGAAUAAUUGGACAUCCUGUAUUUU
rnacentral:miRNA from 1 species